rnacentral:rRNA from 1 species
GACGAACGCUGGCGGCGUGCUUAACACAUGCAAGUCGAACGGAAAGGCCCUGCUUUUGUGGGGUGCUCGAGUGGCGAACGGGUGAGUAACACGUGAGUAACCUGCCCUUGACUUUGGGAUAACUUCAGGAAACUGGGGCUAAUACCGGAUAGGAGCUCCUGCUGCAUGGUGGGGGUUGGAAAGUUUCGGCGGUUGGGGAUGGAAUCGCGGCUUAUCAGCUUGUUGGUGGGGUAGUGGCUUACCAAGGCUUUGACGGGUAGCCGGCCUGAGAGGGUGACCGGCCACAUUGGGACUGAGAUACGGCCCAGACUCCUCCGGGAGGCAGCAGUGGGGAAUAUUGCACAAUGGGCGGAAGCCUGAUGCAGCAACGCCGCGUGCGGGAUGACGGCCUUCGGGUUGUAAACCGCUUUCGCCUGUGACGAAGCGUGAGUGACGGUAAUGGGUAAAGAAGCACCGGCUAACUACGUG